rnacentral:misc_RNA from 1 species
UCCGGCUUAUCACCGGCAGUUUCCCUAGAGUGCCCAGCAUUACCUGGUAGCAACAAGGGAUGAGGGUUGCGCUCGUUGCGGGACUUAACCCAACAUCUCACGACACGAGCUGACGACAGCCAUGCAGCACCUGUGCUCCUCCCACCCGAGGUGAAGGGAUCGAUCUCUCGUUCCCACAGAGGGCAAGUCAAGUCCUGGUAAGGUUCUUCGCGUUGCCUCGAAUUAAACCACAUGUUCCACCGCUUGUGCGGGUCCCCGUCAAUUCCUUUGAGUUUUAAUCUUGCGACCGUACUCCCCAGGCGGGGUGCUUAACGCGUUAGCUGCACCACUGAGACGUUCGUCCCAACGGCUAGCACCCAUCGUUUACAGCGUGGACUAC